rnacentral:tRNA from 1 species
AGGGAAAUAGCUCAGUGGUAAAGCUCAUGCUUAGCAUGUAUGAGGUCCUGGGUUCAAUCCCCAGUACCUCCA